UCCACAUCACUCUGGAAGAAAAAUAGGUUAGAGGACGUGUGUGUUCACGGCCUGUGUGUGGUGUUCUGCGCAUAGUCUUCUCAGUCACCCUGGCGAGCGGCCUGCCUUCAAAUGGCUCUGCUGGGGCCUGACCCAGCACUCUGCAUGUGGUCCAUGCUCGUAUUUAAGAGGAAAAUCACGGGCCUGGGGAGAUGGUGCCGCUGACAAAGUACCUGCCAGGCGAACACAGAACCUGAGUUCAGAAAGCCAGCUCCCACAUAAGAAGCCAGGAACGGACCUGUCACCCCAGCUGGGGACAGGGAUAGCUGGCGCAGACAAAAUCCCAAGAAAACAUCAAACGGCAAGCAGAAGAGGGAGAGCAAAGCCUUUGUGGUGUUCCUGUCUGAGGCUUAAGGGAGCCGCCAGGAGACCCAAGCAGAGCCACAGAACAGGUGAAGGUCUACAUUUGAUUCUCAGGACACCUAUAUCCUGUCUCAGCCACUCACAGGCUGUGUGACCUGAAGCAAGUUCCUUCGCCCCUCUGAACACCCUUAGGAAAAAGAAAUGUCCUCUUGUCCAUCCCAGUGCUCUGAUGACUGGAAACAGCUGCUGGUUCACUUGUUCGGGGCCUACUAAGUUUCCAGCUGGGGACCCCAGACCUGAUCUUGGUCUGUCCCAGCCCUGUCUACAAGCAAUGCUAUUGGAUACCAGGUAUAAGUCGGCUUCCAUCACUAGUAAAGAUACCUCGGAUGACUGUGCCAACUUACUAGGGUCUCCAGGACUCUGGCAACUCCAGAUAUACCUGUAAGUUGUUAUCUAGAUUAGGGCUAGGCUCUGGGAAGGUCCAUGGGGAUCAUCUUAUUUUGAGGCUGGCGAGACUGCUCCCCGGGUCCUGGACCGUGUAAAUCGGAGAAAGUGAGCUGAGCCAUUCCUCCCCUUCUGCUUCUCAAUCAAGACUGCAACCUAAGCAGCUGCUUCAAGCUGUUGCCUCCUCUGUGUCCCCCUCCUCCCUUAAAUUGCUUUGUAGGGGGUUUUAUUAUGGCAACAGAAGGAGCAACUGUGCUCCUGAGGUUUUGUCAACUGAUACAAACUAACUAGAACCAUCUUGCAAGAGGAACUUGUGUUGCUACUGCCUCCAUCAGCUUGGUCUGCAGGCGAGUCUAUGGGCGGUUUCCUUGAUUGUUUAAUGGAGGAGGAGGGCUCAGCCAACUGUGCUGGUUCCAUCCCUAGGCAGGUAAUCCUGGGUUGUAAAAAAAAAAAAAAAAACAAACGAACAGGGUUUUUGAGCAAGCCAAUAAGCAGCACCCUUUCAUGGCCUCUG